GACCCGUUAGUUCAGUGGUAGAAUGUGAGAUUCCAGCGCUAUGCGACGAUCCUCAAGGUCGUAGGUUCAACUCCUGCACGGGUCA
rnacentral:tRNA from 1 species